rnacentral:rRNA from 1 species
CGGUGCAUUAGCUAGUUGGUGGGGUAACGGCCUACCAAGGCUGCGAUGCAUAGCCGACCUGAGAGGGUGAUCGGCCACACUGGGACUGAGACACGGCCCAGACUCCUACGGGAGGCAGCAGUAGGGAAUCUUCGGCAAUGGACGAAAGUCUGACCGAGCAACGCCGCGUGAGUGAAGAAGGUUUUCGGAUCGUAAAACUCUGUUGUUAGAGAAGAACAAGGACGUUAGUAACUGAACGUCCCCUGACGGUAUCUAACCAGAAAGCCACGGCUAACUAC